ACGAAGGCUUAGCGCUAAAGCACUCGGCUUCUGAACCGAGGUCCCAGGUUCAAAUCCUGGGAUUUGUU
rnacentral:tRNA from 1 species